UGGGGAAUCUUGCACAAUGGGGGCAACCCUGAUGCAGCGACGCCGCGUGAGCGAUGAAGCCCUUCGGGGCGUAAAGCUCUUUCGACCGGAACGAUAAUGACGGUACCGGGAGAAGAAGCUGCGGCUAACUACGUGCCAGCAGCCGCGGUAAUACGUAGGCAGCAAGCGUUGUUCGGAGUUACUGGGCGUAAAGAGUGCGUAGGCGGUUUUCUAAGUUCGGUGUGAAAUCUCCCGGCUUAACUGGGAGGGUGCGCCGAAGACUGGGAAGCUGGAGUGUGGGAAAGGCAGGCGGAAUUCCUGGUGUAGCGGUUAAAUGCGUAGAUAUCAGGAGGAACACCGGCGGUGUAGACGGCUUGCUAGACCAUAACUGACGCUGAGGCACGAAAGCGUGGGUAGCAAACA
rnacentral:rRNA from 1 species